GACGAACGCUGGCGGCGUGCUUAACACAUGCAAGUCGAACGGAAAGGCCCUGCUUUUGUGGGGUGCUCGAGUGGCGAACGGGUGAGUAACACGUGAGUAACCUGCCCUUGACUUUGGGAUAACUUCAGGAAACUGGGGCUAAUACCGGAUAGGAGCUCCUGCUGCAUGGUGGGGGUUGGAAAGUUUCGGCGGUUGGGGAUGGACUCGCGGCUUAUCAGCUUGUUGGUGGGGUAGUGGCUUACCAAGGCUUUGACGGGUAGCCGGCCUGAGAGGGUGACCGGCCACACUGGGACUGAGAUACGGCCCAGACUCCUACGGGAGGCAGCAGUGGGGAAUAUUGCACGAUGGGCGGAAGCCUGAUGCAGCAACGCCGCGUGCGGGAUGACGGCCUUCGGGUUGUAAACCGCUUUCGCCUGUGACGAAGCGUGAGUGACGGUAAUGGGUAAAGAAGCACCGGCUAACUACGUG
rnacentral:rRNA from 1 species